AUCAAAAAGCUAAUAGGACAUUCAAUAAAACAGUCGCAUAUUCUUCACAACAACCGUAUUAAAUGUAUCUAUGGUAACGUAAGUUACAACUGCUGCUAUAGAGUAUCUAUAGCUAUGGUUUAUAUUAUGCUAAAAAAGAUAAUAUCCUCGAAGUUUUCCUCCAAUUAUUUAGUUUACCCGCUAUUUUUAAUGUAUUCAUUAAAAAUAUAUUCAAAUAGAUAAAAUUGGUAUAUUAGGUUAGGACAGCCCCCAGUUCUCUGAGUCUGCUGUCUUUAACAUACAAAAAUGGAGCUUCACUGUCUUCUCUGAUAUUACUGCAUGUCUUCUUCGAUUUAGUCUUUCUGAGCUUUGCGAUAAAUUUGAGUUGUAUCCAUCUCUGCCAAGUUAUUUUUUCCGACUUUACUACUUUGCUGCUUUUCUGAGCUAAUUUCUAGUGAAAGGUCUCCGAUGAAAGAUCUUCUUCGUUUCUAUUUCUCUGGUGAAAGGUCUUCUUCUCAGGUAGGUCUUCUUAUCUGUGUAAGUGUUUAUCCUUGUAGGUUUUCUUCUCUGAAUCAAUUAUUAUCUUAUGUGGAUUUUUUUAUCUCUGUUGAAACUGUUUGCAUGUAAGAAUCAAUGGAACUAUUGUUUCUAAUUUUUCUUGCAUGUAUUAUUUUUUAUGAUCAAAAUAAUUUUUUUGAAAAAAUUCUAAAGAAUACACAAAUGAGUUUCUAUGAAAUCUAUGCUAAUGUUCUAAUUUAUGUCUGUAAUAUAAUUUAUUUAUAGUUCAUUUUUUUAUAUAUUAGUUACAUUUCGAUAAUAUAUACACUAAAAUCACUUAAAGAGAAAAAAACACGUUUUUGAUUUUUUUUGGGAGAAUUUUGUUUGAAUUUUAGGGGAAUUUUGAGGUCUGAUUUGUUUGAUUAGCUGCUUCUAUUGGAUUUGAUUUUAUCUGGGUUUAUUAUUUGGAUUUAUUUGAGUCAUUUUUUAAUUGUUAAUUGUGUUUGUCCAAAUGUUGAAGAUACUAAUUCUAAUAAUAUUGUUUGAGUACUAACUUUGCAAUUUAAGGUUAUUUGAACCCUUUUUAUUAAACAAAUGAACUAUAAUUUUUAGUCUUGUGUUUCUUGAAGUAGGAUGAUCCAUGAUGAAUUACAUACUAUGUUGGGUAGUGUUUUCCCUUUUGCGAGUUCGUCCCCAUCUCACAAAUUGCUAGCCGAUUUUUCUUUAGUCACUGAUCUACUUACAUGCUAUAUUAUGAAUUUCUAGGUGAAGAUCUUUCCUGAUGGUCGUUCUUUGUGCUAAGUUUGUAGUUAUUCGACAUGAAUAUUGACAUUUCGAAUAAUCGAUUUGUAGAUCUUCACAUACAUUUUCACUCAGUUUGCAUAACAUUUAUCCAAUUGCUUAUUUUCACCCUUCUCUAAUCUAACUUGAAUGUUUUCUGAUCUUUCUUAUGUUCACAGAGGUUGCUAUUUUUAGGAUAAGCACUAGUUAAAGUCAAUGCGAGUGAUCCAGAUGUCAUUUCUACCAUCAUUAAUCGCUUCUCUGACAUAUCCAAGUUGAAAGAAGAAAGUCCUUAUCAUAAGUGAGUUCAUUCAAUAUCUCUAUUAGUGUGUGUGUUUUUAUGCUGAUUUAUUGAACCAAAUUUGCUAACUUCUAUGAAUGUCUUGUAGUACCAUGCAAAUGUAAAAUUCAUAUAAGACACAAAUAUCUCAAAGGCAUGACUUCUAUAGAGCACACUUCAAUAUUCAUUUUUAGCAUCAUCUAAUAUAGAAGCCCAUAGAUAUGAUCAUCCCUGCUCUAGUGUUGAAUCCAACAUGAAAUUUCUAAUUAGCCCAUUUGACUUCAUAGGCUUGGAUAUUUAUCCUAGAGGAUUGUGUGUCAUUGCAAGUGAUUGAUCUGUGGCUCGACGAAUUGAAACUAGCAUCUGACCAAAGCAUCCAACUAAUAAUGUAGUUACCAUUCAAUUGGUCUUACCCAAAAGUUAGUAGUUCCUUCGCGAUAGAAAUAUGGAACACCAAGAAUCCAACUGAUAGUGGUAAGCUAACUUAAGAUAUAUCUGACAUUGAAUCUUGAAAUUUAUGAAUACUCAUUAUCAAGUUGCUUGACCAUACAAAAUUAUUAAGAGUAAAAAGAGGAAAUCCAUGGCCAGUGUCCAACUUUUGUGAUAUGAUAAAGUUAAUAUCCAUAUCUAUUGUGACUUCACGUGACUCACCACUAGCGCGAAGUGUCUAUUAGAUAACAUCGGCUUAAGUGGUGAAAAAAAAGCUUUGAAUUUUAGUAGUGUUUACUGAUUUUUACUUUGUGUGACCAAAUGUUAUUUGAAUUAAAUGACGUAACAAUGGACACGACACUGGUAGCAAAUCAUUCCUUUGUUACAUAACUUUGGUACCUAACGAUCUUUAUGGGGUUACACCUGAUGUGUAUUAGUAAAUAUGAAUGGAAUAACAUAAAACAAUUGGAGGUCCAGAGAACUUUUAUUCGGAUUUAAUUGCUGAGUUUGAUCAAUAAGUUUCUUCUGAUGAGUUCGUAUUUUCUUUUCAGUAACAAUGAUUUAGUUAGAGCUAAUGAGAACAAUGAUUUUUUUUAGAGAAAUAAAUACUGUGAUGUAAAAUUACAAGAAAAAUGAAAUGAUGUGAUGAAAUUUUUUUCUAUUGUUAUCGCUAUAUGGACACGAAUGUGUAUGGUAAUGUUUAUAUACUUGACUUAACAUUGCAAGUUUGUAAAAAUUUGGUAUUUGAGAAACCAAGUUUCAAUUUCAUGAAUCAAAUUUUGAUUCAUAAUUAUUUUUGUACCAAAUCUUUGAAAGUUUUGAUUUGUGUUUGGUGUGUCAAAGUGAUUUAAAAUCCACUGUUGGUUAAAAGUUUAAAAUUGUUGUUCUAAAUUAUAAUUUCUAUCUCAUUAUUGAUUGCGAAUAAAACAUUCAUUCAAUUGAUGUCGAACCUAAGUAAAAUAACUAUUGAAAACUUAAUUUUCAUCAUGAAACUUGUAGCAACCUUUUUUGAAUAAAUUUCUAAGUCCACGCCUGAUGUGGAAUAUAAAGACAUACUCAGAAUUUCUAUGAAUGUGAACUGAAUUAAUUCAUUGUAGGUUGAAAACGCUUGUUUCAAUAUUUUGAUAUCUUGAUACUACACCUCUGCGUUGAUCACCAGACAAUGUAUCUAUUUAUAUCUGUUUAAUAUUUAUCAUUCUUUAACAAAUGAAUUUACAUGGCCUGUUUGGUUAAAUUUGCACCUGCAAUCUUGUGCAGUCUAUCUUACUGUUUUGUUAUCUACUUUGGUACUUUUCAAACCUAACUACAUCAUUUACAAAUCAAAACUGAAGUGACACUUUCAGUCUCAGCCAAGAGAUAUUUCACUCUCUACUAGUUUUUUUUGGUCCCCUUUUCAAUUCUUAAGGUUUGAUUCUAAUUUGAAGUAGAAAAUAAGUCAAAAGAAGUUUUUUUUGGCUUUCUUUUAAUUUAAUUUAGUUGUGUAAGUUAGCUAUUAAAGUUUGGGAAUAUGUUUGCGUGCAAUGAUUGUGUGCUAAUAAAUGAUCUCUUUUAGAUGGAGAAAUUAGAUAGUGCUAUUCUUUAUGAGGUCAAUAGACUGAAAUUGUACAUUUAUUGGGGCUAAGCAACCAUUUUCUGAUUCUGAAAUUUAGAGAUGUACCUUUUUUAAUUGUUUUGACUGGUGUUUAUGAACUUAUAGGCUGAAACACUGCACAUUUUGAAAUUAUCUUAUAUAAGAAGGUAAGAAAUUUUUUUAAAUAAUGGAUAGUUACACAAAAAUGAGGACUAUUGCUUUGUUAUACUAGUAUAAAGUGAGUGAGGGUAGAGAAAUAUUUGACAGUACAUACAUACUUAUUAAAGUAUGUGCUUUCUUUCUACUAACAGUUUGAUUAUCAACCUUGUCACUUUCGUGGGUUUUGACCCAAGUAAAUAGCUUACAUAUACAAUAGCAUGUCUAUUAACAGUUGAGUUGAAAAUUAUUUAAUAACAACUUGUCUGUUUAGGAUGUUUUUGUGUUUGUUGUUUUUUUUUUCUACAGUUCCUAAAAUAUGUAAAUAAAUAUAUGACUAUUAUUAAUUUGUUUUGUUCUUUAUUAAAUGAGAAAAGAUAUUAAAACACCCUUAAAUUUGUCCACAAAACUUGUUUUAGCAAUUUAACUUUAUGUAUAAUUCUUUCCCUCCUUACAGAACUUUCAAUUGUAUUUUAUACUACCUCAAAAAUAUCAUACCACUCUCACUACGGGAAGUACAUUACACACGCUCCACGUUGGAGCUAUGUAAAUAAUUUUUUUUUUUUUCAAAUAAUCUCCCCAACUUAUACACACACGUGUGUGUAUAAAAUGAAAAAAAAAUCUACCCCUAAACUUUCUUCUCCAACCCCCUCCUUGAUUUGCAACUCGUGCCCCUUUCCCCGGGUUCUUGAUCUGCAACCCGCCCCUCCCCCAUUCUUGAUCUGCAACUCGCAGCCCCUCCCUGUUCUUGAUUUGUAAUUCGCUCCCCCAAACCCUUUCUUCUUCAACCCUACCCACCCUUCACCCUUUCUUCUUCAACCCUACCCACCCUUCUUUCUUGAUAUGUAAAUCCAUCUUUCCUCCCCACCGCACCCAACCCCUUCGAAUUAGACUCAAUCAUUUUGAGGUCCAUUAUUUUUUAUUCUGACCCAAAUCAUUGAAAUUUUAUUCUAGAAAAACUAUAAUCGUACUGUGAAAGAUUUUGAGUUUCAGUUUGUAAAAGGAAUUAUAGAUAGAAAAAAUGUGAUUUUUUAAUCAAAUUUGAAGUAGUUGCCAUUUUUGAGAGAAUUUUUGUUUGAUUCAAUUCCUUUCUUGCAAUAUUUUUUUUAGUUCAAUUUCAAUACGAAUUUAUCAAUAUUUUUUAUAUGAGUAUUUUCAAUUUGUUCAAUCAAAAUAAGAAUCUGACAAUUGUGGAGUUAAUUCAGCUAUUGAGGAUUUUAUUGUGAAUAUUUGAAUUUAUGAUAUUUUUUGAUGUACAUAAUGAUAUAAUCUCUUUCUUUUAAUGACGCAUAGCUAAACCACAAUACUUUGGGGUGGGUGAUGAAUGAUUGUUAAUUAAUAUAUGAGUGUUGAUUAUUUGUUUCUAAUUUGAGUCAUAUAUUCUGGGUUUAACUAAGAGAUAAUACAUAAAUAUGACUCUAAGCUUGACAUCAAAUUAUAACUUUGACCUUAAAUUUUGACAGUGUACAAAUAUGACCUGUAACUAUUCAAAACUGCACAAAUAUGAUCACCGAUCCUAUGUGGCAAAACGUGUGUUGAACCUAGGUGUGUCCGGCUUAAGAUCUAAGGGCAUAAUAUAUAAAUAUGACCUUAAACUUUGACAAUGCACAAAUAUGACCUUUAACUAUUCAAAACUGCAUAAAUAUGACCUUUAAAUGACUUUUCACUAUUAUUUUUUUAUUAUUUUCGGCUCAAAGAUGAAAAUGACAUUUAAUUUUUUUUGUCAUUAUGGAAAAAGAGCAAUAUUGAAGAUUUAUUAAUUAAUAUAUAUAAGGUAGAAAAUCUAUAUAUAUAAGGUAGAAAAUCUAUAUUUAUGUACGUAUAUUAAUGUUAAACCACAUGAAAUAAGGCACUUAGAUAGCCCAGUGGUGUUAUUUGCUCUUCUUGGACGCUUCUUUCAGCCUACUGCACGGGUUUGAUUUUUUAAUUAAAAAAAGCUAGGUGUUGCUGUUAUAGAANNNNNNNNNNNNNNNNNNNNNNNNNNNNNNNNNNNNNNNNNNNNNNNNNNNNNNNNNNNNNNNNNNNNNNNNNNNNNNNNNNNNNNNNNNNNNNNNNNNNNNNNNNNNNNNNNNNNNNNNNNNNNNNNNNNNNNNNNNNNNNNNNNNNNNNNNNNNNNNNNNNNNNNNNNNNNNNNNNNNNNNNNNNNNNNNNNNNNNNNNNNNNNNNNNNNNNNNNNNNNNNNNNNNNNNNNNNNNNNNNNNNNNNNNNNNNNNNNNNNNNUCACGCAUGGGGUUGCAAAAUCAAAGGUCAUAUUUGUUCAGGUUUUGAAUAGUUAAAGGUUCUAUUUGUGCACUAUCAAAGUUUAAAGUCAAAGUUAUAAUUUGGUGUCAAGUUUAGAGUCAUAUUUAUGUAUUAUCUCUUUAACUAAACCUCUAUAUUUUAAUUCAUGAAUACAGGUUGCAAACACUAUUUAAACUUAGAUCUUUUGUUUUGCUUGAAAGAGAGAACAAAAGUGAAAAGAUUUAGUUGACAAAUACUUGAGAUUUCUUCAUUUAAUUGAUAUUACUAGAAAUAGACUAACUAAUUUGAUGAGGUUGUCUAGAGAGUUAAAUAUGGGUGUAUGAAGAAACCCAUAUAAAAUUUGGUGAUAGAUUGAAAGGUUAACAAUAGUAUCUAAAACCUAACCUAUCCAUACUAUAUACUUACUGAAUUAAAGGUCAACCACCCAUACAUAUUAUCAACUAUCAAACAAGCACACCCCUAACUCGUUUUGAUAUUGAUUGCAACUCCUAUAUUUUAAUUAUAGCAAUUUCUCUCUUGAUAAUUAUAUUCUAAAGUGUUCCAAAUUCUUGACAUAACCCCCUCCCUCUCCAUUUACUUUUAUUGUCAAAAUUAAUAUGAGCAAGCAUUUAGUGAUUUUUGGGUUAAAUAUUGCUAAUCAUCAUGUGCAUCUAAACUAAUAUAAUUGGGCGUUAUCACUCAAGCCAUCCUGCUCCUAGUAGUUUAAAUUUCAAACUUAAUAGUAGUUUUAAGAAUAUAAACACCACAUAAAAGGAAUUCCAAAUCACAAAAUCAUAAAUCACUAAAUCAUACGCAUAAUAAAGAUAAAAUAUAGUGCAACUCAAUAAUAUGGUAAGUAGUGCAAUGCUCAAUGCUUACCUCAUUUACACCCUCCGAGCCUAAACUUCCAAGAAAGGGCUUAUUCGGGGUUCACAACCCAUAUACUAAUCAUGAUCACAUCAAUCAACCUUACCAACUUGUCACGACCCAAAAAUCAAGAGUCAUGAUGGCACCUGUCGUAGUAAGCUUUGACAAGUAAGCUUAUCACCUAAACUGAUAUAAAAAGGAAAAUAACACUAAUACCCAAGGCAAGGCUUCUAGAGUGAAACUCAACCACACAAGUAUAAUAAAAGCAGAGAUACAUAACCAAAGAUAACAUACAAUAAUUCCAAACUUGGUGUCACAGUGUAAGAACUGACUAGUACAACUCGAAGUCAAAAUACAUAGAAUAUCCAAAAAGAAAUAACUCUAUCUCUGAAUAUAAAUAGAGACAUAGUCUGGAUAGGUGAAGGUAGUAGUCAACUCCGAAUGCAAGGACCAACUGCUACCUCGAAAUGGGCUCCAAGUAUCCUCUGAAAUCAGCUGCCAUGAGGUGCACUCAAACCUGGAUCUCCACCGAAAUGGUGCAGUAGAAGUGAGUACAAUCCACUUGUACUCAUGAUACCAACUAAGCUAUGGAAGGCACCAAAACAACAUGAAAAUAGUCCACUAUGUAAGUAGAAUUUGAGGACCAAAUGAGACCUAGUCUCGGCAACAACAAUCAACACAAGAUUACCAAGAUUACAAGGUGUAAGAACACUAAAAUCAGCGAGCCAACACACUAACAAAUAGAUUACAACAAGAAUAAUAACUCAUAGUUUGGACACAAACCUGAGAACAAGAUGACAACAACAAUAAUAUGUACAAAUAGAUAGACAACUUGACAUACAAAUACAUAAACACUAUGAACCUAAGUGUGUAUCAAACACAAAGACCCAAGGAUUAUACAAGUAACACCAUGCUCUUAUAGAGACCUCAAGGGAAUCGGAAUCCCCAUGCAACCACCGUUUUUAAACUAGUACCAACACAAGUGAUAUCCACACUUGUCACAAGUGAAAUCCACACUUGUAUGAACACUCUCUAAGAGAUGUCUUACAAUAUUCAUCAAAGUUAUGAGAAAUGACCUAAAAGGUUCUAUUUAUAAUCUUGACUACUUAUUACACAAAAUGACCAAAAAACCCUUAAUGAUACCAAUUCAAGGGGUGGCCUUGGAGUGUAUCCUUGGGAUUGCUUUGGAGUGUUUGAAGGCCUUCUUUACACUUCAAAGCUUGUCUAUUGGUUGGGCAGCCCCUCCCAAGCUCGAGUCUUUACGUAUCAGCUUCCAAUCAUGUCUUUGAAAGCUACGAUGACCCUUUGACUCGUAUCAUUCUCCCCUUCUUGAAAAGAAUUCGAUCUUGAAUCCGAACCUUGCAAAACACAUUUUCUCAUGUCAUGAGGGUUAAGGUUAUCACAAUCAACCAAAGAAUCAAACCAAGGUUGCACACACAUCACAUGCCGAGGGGUCUAAAGAAGUAGAAUACCUUUCCAACCAUAAGAAACCAUGCUUACACAAAAUACAUUUUUAAUAAAAACAUUGUCAUCAUCAUGAGCAAAAAAUAGAAAGGAAAAGAGCUAAGUGCACCAUAGGAUGAGACAAAACAUUUGAAGCACAUUACAUCUUUUNNNNNNNNNNNNNNNNNNNNNNNNNNNNNNNNNNNNNNNNNNNNNNNNNNNNNNNNNNNNNNNNNNNNNNNNNNNNNNNNNNNNNNNNNNNNNNNNNNNNNNNNNNNNNNNNNNNNNNNNNNNNNNNNNNNNNNNNNNNNNNNNNNNNNNNNNNNNNNNNNNNNNNNNNNNNNNNNNNNNNNNNNNNNNNNNNNNNNNNNNNNNNNNNNNNNNNNNNNNNNNNNNNNNNNNNNNNNNNNNNNNNNNNNNNNNNNNNNNNNNNNNNNNNNNNNNNNNNNNNNNNNNNNNNNNNNNNNNNNNNNNNNNNNNNNNNNNNNNNNNNNNNNNNNNNNNNNNNNNNNNNNNNNNNNNNNNNNNNNNNNNNNNNNNNNNNNNNNNNNNNNNNNNNNNNNNNNNNNNNNNNNNNNNNNNNNNNNNNNNNNNNNNNNNNNNNNNNNNNNNNNNNNNNNNNNNNNNNNNNNNNNNNNNGUUCCUCUUUUGAGUCAAGUCUUCAUCAACCUUGGAAUCCUUGAAUAAGAACUCAUCCAGGCCUUCAAACUUAUGCUCAUGAGAGGUCUUCUUUAAGUCCUCCUUUGGAAGCAUUAGCUUAUGAAUCUGCACAAGAGAAUUAUUGGUACUAGGCAAAAUGCUAGUUCCAUGGUUAGUAUGUAACAAUGGUUUAGGUUUGACAAGUUCCACAAUUAGCUGUUCCUUGUCGCCCUCAUUCGGUUCAACCCUUGGCUCAACAACCGCACACAAUUCUCCUACUUGAUCUAAGUUCUUCUCCCUAAUCUUAGUUUCUAUUCUUUCUAUUAUUCCUUCCAUUCUUCUUUCAAUUGAUUCACAUCAGCUAAUAACAUCAUGUUUUACACUCAUUAUGACCGGCAUCAAAUCAUUCAUGGUCAUCUUUUCCGAUGCCAUAGUACCUAACAAAAGGAAAUUCCAAAACAACAGCACAGAAAAACAGUAAACUAGUUAAUGUGGUAGGGAACUUCUUCCUCCGAUCCAUGGGGUGACAUGCUUCACUCCUUGGCACAAAGUACCCAUCGGGCCAUAGGAGUUUGGUUAUGUUCCUCUUUUGAGUCAAGUCUUCAUCUACCUUGGAGUCUUUGAAUAAGAACUCAUCUAGGCCUUAAAACUUAUGCUCCUGAGAGGUCUUCUUUAAGUCCUCCUUUGGAAGCAUUAGCUUAUGAAUCUGCACAAGAGAAUUAUUGGUACUAGGCAAAAUGCUAGUUCCAUGGUUAGUAUGUAACAAUGGUUUAGGUUUGACAAGUUCCACAAUUAGCUGUUCCUUGUCGCCCUCAUUCGGUUCAACCCUUGGCUCAACAACCGCACACAAUUCUCCUACUUGAUCUAAGUUCUUCUCCCUAAUCUUAGUUUCUAUUCUUUCUAUUAUUCCUUCCAUUCUUCUUUCAAUUGAUUCACAUCAGCUAAUAACAUCAUGUUUUACACUCAUUAUGACCGGCAUCAAAUCAUUCAUGGUCAUCUUUUCCGAUGCCAUAGUACCUAACAAAAGGAAAUUCCAAAACAACAGCACAGAAAAACAGUAAACUAGUUAAUGUUAGAAAAGAAAAAACAUCCCCACAAGCUCUUAAGCUCACACCUUUGAAGUAUCACUCAAUUGGCCUCACAAGUGUUGGUACAUCAUUUGUACUUCAAUGAGGUUACUUAGUUCCAAUUGCGGCUCAAGGUCGGAAUAGAUUCUUGUUUGAAACGACUCAAAAUAAAUAUGUAUGUACUUGAAUCAAGAAGCUACAACAAAUUUCAAUAAGAUAAAAUCACUCAAAGAAACGUAGACACGAAUUAAACCGACCCAAAACUAACUUACAACCUUAGUAGACAAUUACUAGUUUGUUAAUUACCGAUAGAAUCAACAAAAUACAACUAAGAAACACAGAUUAGAAACUAAGAAAAAGAUAAAAUCACUCAAAGAAACGUAGACACGAAUUAAACCGACCCAAAACUCACUUACAACCUUAGUAGACAAUUACUAGUUUGUUAAUUACCGAUAGAAUCAACAAAAUACAACUAAGAAACACAGAUUAGAAACUAAGAAAUAAAAUUUUGAGCCUAAAAUUGUCGUGUGAACAGUAAUUGGUGACGUGAAAGCCAUGUAUUGGUUGAGGUCUUUAACAAAUUUUAUUUUCCAAAUUUGGAAGUUUUGAUCAAUUUGUGAUUUGGAAUUGGUGGGAAUUGGUUUAGGAGGGAACAAGUCUUGAAAUCCUCUUUCAACUUCAAAAAUUGAAGACUUGACUUUUUUGUACUAUUUUCCUGAAACAUGGUCCGCAAAACAUGGAAAGUGGUUGAGAAGUGAUUGACUAGUUGAUGAGUAAUGGUAGGUCUUUUAAGACUAACAAAGCUUCACCUUUUUCCCUUCACUUUUAUAGAUCUAAUGUUCACUUUAUUUUAUUAAGUUAUGAGGGUUGUGAAGAACAUCAAGAACAACAUCAACAAUCACCAAGUACAACAACAAUCCAACGUCUAACUCCAACAACAACAAGGCCAAUAAUACACGGCCAAGACCACAACAAUAACAACAACAAUCGGUCACACUUGAGUUCGCAACAACAACUUCAACAACAUAAGCUCAAACUUAGAUCUAAAUCCAAGAGUGUUAGUGAAGAAUAAAAAUAACACUAUAAACAACAAAACAAACAAAAGAACACCUAGAUCUAGACUCAAAUUUCGUCCAAGACAACAAUAACAAGAAAUCCAACUUCUUAGCCAAGAACACAAACUCAAGAACACUACUUAUUUUUUGAUCUCUCAAGCAAGCUAGCCAAAGAUUGAUCUUGUUGGAACAAAAUCAAGACAUGCUCUGAUACCAAAUGAUACCAACCAAGCUAUGGAAGGCACCAAAAUAACACAAAAAUAGUCCACUAUGUAAGUAGAACCCGAGGACCAAAUAAGACCUAGUCUCUGCAACAACAAUCAACACAAGAUUGACAAGAUUACAAGGUGUAAGAACACUAAAAUUAGUGAGCGAAAAAACUAACAAAUAGAUUACAACAACAACAAUAACUCACGGUUUGGAUACAAACCCAAGAAUAAGAUGACAAUAGCAAUAAUAUAUAUAAAUAGAUAGACAACUUGACAUAUAAAUGCAUGAAUACUAUGAACCUAAGUGUGUGUCAAACACAAAGACCCAAGGAUUAUACAAUUAACAUCAAGAUCUUACGGAUACUUCAAGGGAAUCGAAAUCCCCAAGCAAUCACGGUUCUAAACUAGUUCCAACAUAGGUGAUAUCCACACUUGUCACAAGUGAAAUCCACACUUGUAUGAACACUCUCUAAGAGAUGUCUCACAAUAUUCAUCAAAGUUAUGAGAAAUGACCAAAAAGAUUCUAUUUAUAGUCUUGAAUCUUAUUACACAAAAUGACUAAAAGGCCCUUAAUGAGACCAAUCCGACGGCUUUAGAGUGUUUGAAGGCCUUCUUUACACUUCAAAGCUUGUCUCUUGGUUGGGCAGCCCCUACUAAGCUCGAGUCUUGUCGACUGAGCAAAGUAGAAAAUAAAGCAUACAAAAUACACACUAAGGGAAUGUCACCUGUAAUCAGAAAAUAUCCCAAAUAAAAGCCUAUACCAUCUCCACUAACCGUUCUAUAAUAUUCACAUACACUAUUGCAAUAUAAAAGAGAAAUAUGAGUAUACAGUUAUUAUACAUACAAAGACAAAUAAAGAAGUACCAUAGAUAGGCAUCACAUCAAGAAAAAUGAUACAUCACAGAAAAGUACAAAGUAAAUACAAAUGCAAUGGAGAUGAUGACGAUGAUGAUAAUGAUGAUGAUGAUGUGAUGCAUGAGAUUGUCACACAGCCUCCGUAUCAACUACUGAGCUCUGCUCCUAGGUAGGACCCAUGAGAGGUUCGUCAACUCACACCAAUUGAGAUUCACUCUCAAGUAGGACCCACGGGGGUUUGUUAAUCCAUAUACAACCAAUAUUUAAUACAAUAUCCAUAUAUCCUUUUCAGUACAUCCAUUAGUAGAGGAUUUUAAAGAUGUUAUAUUUUCUAUAAGAAAAUCCAGUAUUUCCAUGGUGGUACCAAUAUUUCAUGAAUAAAUAUUUUAUAAGGAUGUAAUGCUCAUAACCAACCAAAAUGAGAAAUUCCAUAUUCAACCAAUAUACCAACCAAGUGAGCUAAAAUUCACUCAUUAAUCCAACCAUCCAUGAAUCUAACGUAAUCCAUAUGCCAAUAGAAUGAAGUAUAUUAAAAAAUCACUAGUGAUGCCACGUUAGGCUUUUCAUCAAGCAAUAUACAACUAAUUCCACAUACACAAGGCCAAUAACAUCAUAUAAGACCUCACAUAGUCACACAUACAAAAAUAAUACUCCUAAAUUGCCAAAUAACAUCAAUAUAUAGUCCCCCACAUGGACACAACAUGAUAAAUAUAGACAUUUUCAUGAUUAAUACCCUUAACAUGAUUUUGUAUUAACAUUAACUUCCUAAUCCAGUUUGAAAAAAGUUAAGCCAUAGCUUACCUCGAAUUCCAAAAACAAGUUUGAAAGCCUUCAAUAUGAAGCCUUACUCUUACGAAGGGACUCAAAAUCAACUAAGACAUAGAAAUACAAAAUCUAUGCAUCAAAAUAAAGCCAAUGAUACCAAUGUUGCCUAAAGGACUCCCAAAAUAAAUUUUUGAAAAGAAGGGUAAAAGUAUAAUUUUUUUUUGAAAAAUGCUCCCCAUACUGUAGGAGUUUACGUAUGAAAACCCAAGAGAAAAUGAGUUUAAAAUGAGGUUCAAAUUGAUGAGAAAUUAUUUUCAAGCUUUAUUGGUAAAACCCCUGAAAUCCAUUUUAAAAUCGAGAAUUGGAGUUGUUUUGAAGAUGAAAUUAAGAGAAAAGUGAUAAUUAUAAGAUUAGAAACUCAUCCAAGUGAAAAUGGGUUGGAAUCGGGGCUUAAAUUGGUGAAAUAUAAUUUUUAGGCCUUUCGGGCCAAAAUCCCUAAUUUCUACUUUUAAAUCCGCAUUUAAAUAAGAUUUAAAUGAUAAAUUGAAGAAAAGUAGUUGAAAUAGGUGAUUUGGAGCUUACCCAAGCUUAGAAAUGGAGGAAAUUUCUCAAAAUCACGAAACCCUAGGCUCUAAGUCUAAAAAAUGGUGAAAAAUAACGAAACAUAGGUAUUUGAAGGACCCAGGCAUCGCAAAUACGAUCAUCGGGUUGCUUAAGCGAUUACUACUUAAGCAACCAGGCGUCGCGUACGCAAUACCUUACCUUAGAUUAAAUAUUGCAUAAGCGAACCUGACAUCGCUUACACAGGUUCACGAUUGCGAUCUAGAUGUCACGUAAGGGACACUUGGUCUGACCUGCUGAGUUGCGUAACCGACCAAAGUGUCACUUAUGCAAGUGCACCAGCUGGAGACUUGGAGAAUUUCAAGUCUCUGUAGACCCCUUGAGAUUCACUUGAAAUCCCGUGAAUGCAAACAAACUAUGCUACCCUAUCAAAGUUGAUGCUACAGACUCAAUGACGAUAUCAGAUUUUAAAAAAAUGUCAUUUCACAAAGUUGAUCCCCGAAAUUCAGUUUCACAACUUUUUAAAUCGAGGGUCGAAAUGACAUAUAAAAGCCAUAAAGUCACACCAACCAGGUUACAACCUUAAAAUGGACGUUUUGAAUCUGCCGUCAUAAUUUGUUUUGCCAUCUGAUGCACAGAUCAAUAAAUAUUGACUGAAAUCAAGUAGAAGGCUUUUCAAGGCACCAUAAACCACAAUAUUACAUAAAUCACACUGAAAUACAUCGGGAAUCCCGCCAAUAAUCUCCACACCCCAGAAAUACCACAAAAUAACUACGGGGAGGGGUAAAUUGGUCAAAUCACAUAGAAAUAAAUAUUCCGCACAAAUUACCAAAUGUCAGGUUGUUUUAUCAUCCACCACUAAAAAUCUAGUUCGUCCUUGAACUGAAGGCAAGGAAUUACCUAAAAUCAUUAAGUAGCCUCAUAUACAGGUCGAUGUCUCCACUGGACCUUAACCACUGGAAUAUCUCUAGAACAAAAUCAUUUAACAUCUUUAGCCAAGAUGUAGAUAGGCUCCUCAACAAAAGAUAGCCUUUCAUCUAGCUGAAUCGAAUCCCAAUGGAUGACAUGAGACUCAUCCAGAAUGUAACACCAAAGAAUGGAAACUUGAAAACUUGGAUGAACAAAAAAUAUGUCUGGGGGAAAAGACAACUCAUAAUCCACAUUAUUGACAGUCCAAAGAAUCUCAAAUAGGACAAUAUACCUGAGGGUGAGCUUGCUCCUCUUCCCAAAUCUCAUCAUACCAUUCAUGGGCAAAACCCAAAAGAAAACUCGAUCACCAAAACUAAAUCUCAAGGAACGAAGUCUACAAUCUGCAUAACACUUCUGCCUACUUUGGGCCUCUCAAAGCCUAUCAUGAAUGAUUCAAACUUUAUCCAAGGACUCAUAAAGCAAGUCCGUACCUCGAGGUCUAAUCUUAGAAAAGUCAAACCAACCAAAUGGAAAGAGAAAAAUCCUACCAUACAAAGCCUCAAAAUGAGCCAUAUCAGUACUAGAAUGGUAGCUAUUAAUUAUUUUUCACAAACCCCAUCAAGGCUAGAUGCUACUCCCAUUGACUACCAAAGUCCAUCACACAAACGCUGAGUAUAUCCUCCAAUACCUGAAUAGUUCCCCCCGACUGACCAUCGAUCUGGGGUGAAAGACUGUACUAAGAUCAACCCGAGUACUCAAAUUCUCCUAAAAAUUCUUCCAAAAGUAAGAUGUGAACAUUGAACCUGGAUCUGAGAUAAUAGACAAUGGAACAUCAUGAAGAUGCACUAUCUCACAAAUAUAGAUAUGGGUCAGCCUCUUAACACUUUAAAAAACCUAAACUAGAGUAAAAUAAGUAGAUUUGGUCAAUUGAUCCAUGAUGAACCAACACUAUUAGAACCAUGAGAAGUAUGAGGCAACCCAAUUAUAAAGUCUAUAGUAAUUCGCUCCUAUUUCCACUUAAAAACGAAUAACCUCUGAAGCAAAUCAUGAGGCCUUAAAUACUCAGCCUUCACCUGAUGGCAACAUAGGCAACGAGCUACAAAGUCCACUACAUCCUUUCUCAUACUACACCACCAAUAAUGCUGCCUCAAAUCAUGAUACAUCUUAGUGACUCUUAAAUGGAUGGAAUACCUUGAACAAUGAGCCUCUUACAAAAUCAAUCUAAUCCAAUCACCCACCCUCAACACACAAACUCGACCUCUAAUCCUCAAAAUUCCAUUUGAAUCAAGUAAGGAUUAUUUAGCCUCACCACUUAACACCUUAUCCCAAAUCAAUCUCAAUCUAACAUCAUCAAGAUAAUGAGCUCGAAUCUUCUUCAUCAAUGAAGACCUAGCCUUUAUGAAUGAUAAAACACAACUAGGUAUUGAAAUAUCAAGUCUAACUAUUUGGUUAUACCUGAUGGCAACAUAGGCAACGAGCUACAAAGUCCACUACAUCCUUUCUCAUACUACACCACUAAUAAUGCUGCCUCAAAUCAUGAUACAUCUUAGUGACUCUUAAAUAGAUGGAAUACCUUGAACAAUGAGCCUCUUACAAAAUCAAUCUAAUCCAAUCACCCACCCUCAACACACUAACUCGACCUCUAAUCCUCAAAAUUCCAUUUGAAUCAAGUAAGGAUUAUUUAGCCUCACCACUUAACACCUUAUCCCAAAUCAAUCUCAAUCUAACAUCAUCAAGAUAAUGAGCUCGAAUCUUCUUCAUCAAUGAAGACCUAGCCUUUAUGAAUGAUAAAACACAACUAGGUAUUGAAAUAUCAAGUCUAACUAUUUGGUUAGCAAAAGAGUGAGUGUGGGGCCAUUGACUAUUUCUCUAAAGAAUGUCUCCAUCGUAGGGCAGUGGUGCCUGAGGUGCAUAGUAUUAUGCUGAUUACAAAAAUAUCGCCUUUAGCUAGAUUUAGUAUGCAGGGUUUUUGGGGUGGUCCCAUGGUUCUCGUAGAGGUCCUCAGGCAGGUAGUAUAGGCAGGUAGGAUAGGUGAUCAAUUAGGUGCCUAGCCAGGUGUUGAGUAAGGGGAUUUAUAUAUUGUACCUGGUAGACCGGAUGUAGAGUCUUUGGAUGGUGUUACUACAAGUAUUAUCUCUUAGUGCCAUCGAUUGGCUUUUUCUUUAUUUAAUCUGGGACCCACUUACUCUUAUGAGUCUGCUUAUUAUGCACCAUAGUUAGAGUUGUCUUAGGAUUCCUUAUUGGUGUCAUUAUGUGUAUCUGCUCUUGUAAGUGAUUCUUUAGUAGUGGAUAAGGUUUAUAAAUUGUAUGUUGUGAUAAUUGAAGAGUUUAAACUUAGGAUGAUAUUAUUAUAUUAUAUAUGGUGGUCUUUGAUGUGAUUCAAGGCAUGGAAUGGUCAUCCCUCUAUCAUGGGGUCUUGGAUUAUUUUUCCAAGACAGUAACCUUAGCCAUGCCUGACAUACCCCUGGUUAUGUGGUGAGGGUUUAUUAUCCAUACAAAGAUGGAGAUUAUUUCUUCUGUUUUGGCUAGGUAAUGAUGACCCUCCCCUCGAACUAUUUAAAAUUAAAAUUAUUUGUUCCCUAAAUAUGCUGAGGUGGCAAAGUAAGUGCAUUUCACUCUCUUUGAGAGAGUGAGCAUGAAAAUUACUCAUCAAAUUUUAUUUUUAAUAUAUUUUACAUAUAUAUGUAUAAUUUUAUCUUGAGCCGGGGUCUAUCGGAAACAACCUCUCUACUUCUUCGGAGGUAGCGGUAUGGACUGCAUAUAUUUUACCCUCCUCAGACCCCACUUGGUGGGAAUACACUGGGUUUUUUGUUGUUGUUGUUGACUUAUAUCGAGGGGCUGCGAGUCUUAUCUUAUUUAUAUUUGUGAUGUUAAUAUGGAGAUUCCUUCACUUAACUCUAUUCUUGUAGUACUAGAUUUUCCUGAUGUCAUUCCUAUCGAUCUACUUGGUCUUCCUCCUGAGCAUAAUAUUGAAUUUAUUAUUGAUCUUGAGUAGGGCACCGUACUUUUUUCAAUGGAACCUUAGAAUAUGGCUCAUGUCGAGCUUAAGGAGCUAAAUUCUAAGCUUUAGGAUCUUCUGGGUAAUGGUUUCAUUAGGCCAUCUAUUUUCUUAGGGUGCUCCUAUCUUGUUUGUGAAAAAGAUGGAUGGUUUGCAUAUGUAUAUUGAUUACAAGCAGCUGAAUAAGGUGAUAGUGAAGAAUAAAUAUCCUAUGCUUCGCAUUGAUUGCUUGUUUUAUAAACUUCAGGGUGUAGAGGUGUUCUUUAAGAUUGAAUUGAGAUUCAAUUACCAUUAGUUAAGGAUUUAGACUAAGGAUAUCCUAAAAAUAGCCUUUAGGACUUGUUAUGGCCUUUAUGAGUUCCUGGAGAUGUCUUUUGCAUUGACCCAUGCCUAAGCUAUGUUGAUAAAUUUGAUUUACUUUGUGUUCAGAAAUUAUUUGGACUUCUUCAUGAUUUUGUCCAUCAACGACAUUCUUGUGUAUUCAAGGAGCAGGGAGGAGUAUAUACAAUAUUUAAGGAUUGUGUUCCAAACUUUGAGAGAUCAUAGGUUUCUUAACAAAUUCUCAAAGUGCAUGUUCUGGCUUGAAUCGGUUACACUCUUAGGGCAUGUGGUGUCUAAGGAUGGGAUUGUGGUAGACCCAACAAAGAUUGAGGCUAUUCCUAAUUGGACCAGGCAUGCAUCUCUAUUAGAGUUUUGUAGCUUUAUUGGUUUGGCUAGUUACUAUAGGCAGUUUAUUGAGCAUUUUGCUACUAUUGUGGUAAUGAUGACUAGAUUGACCUAGAAUAAGGUUCCUUUCUAGUGGCAUGAGAAGUGUGAGUCGAGAUUUUAGAAGCUCAAGGUUUUCUCAAUUCAGCUCAUAUACUGUUUCUUCUAGUAAGGGCAAGGAUUUACCAUAUAUUAUGAUGCUUUUUGUGUCGGUUUGUAUUGUAUGUUGAUAUAGUGAGGUAGAGUUAUUGCUUAUGCAUUGAGGAAGUUAAAGGUACAUGAGAACAAGUAUCUACUUCAUGAUUUGAAGUUGGCGGCGAUAGUUUUUACGAGAAAGAUUUGAAGGCAUUAUCUAUAUGGAAUUCAUUAUGAGAUCAACACUAAUUAUAGUCUUCAACAUCUUAUGACAUAAAGAGAGAUUGAUUCUACACAACAUAGAUAGAUGGAGUUGUUGAAGGAUUAUGACAUCUCUGUUUUAUAUCAUCCGAGAAAGGUGAAUGUGGUAGCAGAAGCCUUGAGCCAGAUAACGGCGAGGAUAGGUAGAUUGGAUUCUAUAUAGGUUUUUGAGAAGCCGUUAGCAUAGGACAUCCAGUCCUUAGCCAUCUUGAUGAUGCGACUUAAAAUUUUAGACUCCAGGAGGAUUAUGCUAGUGUUGAAGCUAGGUAUACCUUAUUUGAGUAGCAUAGGGGACUUUGGUUCAUCUGUGAUUAAUUGUUGGGUGGUGUGUCCUGGAUGACUACCAUUUAUUCUGAGGGUAUUCUGAGAUAUGCUGGCUAUAUUUGUGUUUCAAGGGUUAGAGACUUGAUUCAGUUAAUAUUGCGUGAGGCUCACAACUCCAUAUAAUCCUUUCAUCCUGAGAUAACUAAGAUGUAUAUGGAUUUGAGAUAGCUUUACUAAUGGAGUUCCAUAAAGAUAGAUGUAGUUGACUUUGUAUCCCAUUGCCUUUGACAGUAGGUGAAUAUCGGGCAUUAGAGGUCUGGUGUCCUAAUUCAGAGAUUGUCCAAUCUUGAGUGGAUGUGAAAGCAGAUCGCUAUGGACUUCAUUAGUGGUUUGCCAUGCACCUACCAUAGUUCUGAUGGUAUUUGGGUAAUUAUAUAUCAGUUGAACAAAUCAACACAUUUACUUCCUAUUGAGAUGUCCUUCAGUGCUGAGAGGUUAGCCCAUAUCUAUGUUCGUGAGAUAGUUCAUCUCCGUAGAGUUUCCAUAUCAAUUAUUUUAAACCAAGGCUCAAUAUUUACUUUUAGGUUUUAAAGGAAUUUUUAGGAAGAGUUAGGUACCUAAGUUGAUCUUAGCACCACUUUUCACCCUUAAACCGACGGGCAGCCGUAGGGGACUAUUAAGAUUUUGGAGGAUAUGCUCCAAGCUUGUGUUAUAGCUUUUGAAAGAUAGUGGGGGCAACACUUAGCAUUGGAAAAUUUCACAUAUAAUAGUAACUAUCACUUGAGUAUUGAGAUAGUACCGUUUGAGGCAUUAUAUGGUAGGCAUUGUCAAUCUUUGAUAAGGUAGUUUGAAACCUCUGAGGUUAGGCCCUGUGGUACUGACUUACUUAGGGAGUCAUUAUAUAGAUUCAGGGUGAUUCAAGAAAGGCCGAGGUUAGCUAAGAGUAGGUAGAAGUCUUAUACAGAUCAUAGACUUCGUGACUUGAGAUUUGGAGUUAGAGACUGCGUAUUCCUUUCAGUAUCACCCUUGAAGUGCAUGAUAAGGCUUGCGAGGAAAGGCAAGCCCAACCCCAAAUAUAUUGGACCUCUUGGAAUAAUUUGCAUAAUUACAGAUGUGUCUUAUGAGUUAGCCUUGUCCCUAGAUUUUAUCGAUGUUUAUCCAACUUUCUAUGUUACUAUGCUGUAGCUUUACAUUCCCGAUUAGUCUUAUAUGCUUCGGUGGAAAUCGGUUCUGUUAGAUGAGAGAUUGACCUUCGUGGAGGAGCCAGUUCUCAUAUUAGCCAGGGAUGUCAGAUAAGAGAUUGACCUUCGUAGGAAUCGGUGCAAUACCGCUUUUGGGGCCUUUGAAAGGGCAUUAAAUUAAGCCCUUACCUGAUUUUCUCCCAUUUCUCACUAGUCUCAAGAGUCAUAAAGCCCUAUAGAGUGUGGGAAAUUUGGUGACUAAUCUUUGGGUGAUCGUGGGGUGUUGGUGAGCUCAAAUUAUUUAUUUUCUCGUUGUAAUCCUAGUAAGUUCACGUCUAAUUCUUGGUUUAACUCCCCAAUUUAAUUAUAAAUCCUUGUAUUUUUGAUUGGAUGAUUUUGGUAUCAUUUGAUCUCAAAUUAUCCAUUAUUAAGGAUAAGUGAUCCUUGAGCAUAGAGAGAUGUGUUGGAAGUUUUGAAAGUGCAAUUCCGUAAAUAGGCCCCCUAUAAGACUUUGACUUGAUUUUGGACCCGAAUCAUAAAGUUACAAUAUGGGUAUCAUUAUUCUUGUAUUAAUACAUAGAUUAAACCUAUUUUGAUAGUCUGGCAUCGUGCAAAGGCUUCUCGUUAGAAGAUAUCGCCUAUAUAGCAGACUUUACUAGGCUUUCUUCAUCGUCCAAGUAGGCUAGGCGUACCUUUCUCUUAGAUUGAGAUUAAUUAUAGUAUCAAUGUGAUAUUAUGCUAGUUUUAGGUUAUAAAUUAGGAAUUGGAGGUAUAUUUAGUGUGAUUUAGAUUAUUCUGCCGAUUAACAGAUGGUAAUUAGGUAUACUUGACUUAACUGCCCAUUCCUUAGGUAGAAUUGUUAUCACAGGACAGAAUGAGGCUUAUUUAGCACCUUAUAGUGGAGUUUGACACCUUAGUCUAGUUUGGGGUAGAAUUUCCCUUAGAAUGGAUUUUCGUGCUUAGAUGUGGGCCCCUCUGGCCAUCCUUAGGCCAAGAUUAUUAUCAACUCCUUGUAGUCCCAAUAAGCCUCUUUAUGUUAUCUUAUUUAUAUUCUUGAGCCUAAGGAGGAUGUAGACAUAUUAUGACUUACUCUUGGCAUAUACUUGGGGGGAUAUUAAGACAGGUUCAAGUCCAGUAAAUUAUGAUUCUAAGAUUAGUUCAAGUUCCGCAUCUACGAUGAUAUUAUGUCCAAAUUAAGUUUGGUAUACAUGACAUUAUUAUCGGUUCAUGCACGACAUAUAAGAGACUAUUCUUGGUUCGAGUUUAACAUUUUGAUAUUAUUUAUGAUGGUUAUGAAAUUGGUUCGAGUAUGGUGUUUACAUUAUGGAAAGUUUCACAUUUAUGGUUUCAAAGUUUGGAUGUUCUAUGAAUAUACAAUCGUUACUUCUUCUUGAUUGUUUCCACUAGGCUUCUGGGGGCUAGCGUUGGGUUAUUUACUUUUGGUUGCAUCUUUUGUGCUUAACCAGUAGUGAUAGAAAUAGACAUGUUCUCUUUAAUAUUAUUAUUUCGGUUGUUUAUUUUCAGUAUCUGGCGUAUUAUCCUAGAUUUUUAAUUUUUCCCUCACUUAGAUUAUCAUGUCACCUUUUAUUGUACUUAUAUUAUGAUUUAGCUCAGUCAAAAAAUGAUGCCUACAAAGUACCCAUUUCUUUGGUACUUAUACUAAACUUUUGUAAGUUUCUUAUGCAGAUUUGAGGACUAGAUGCCGCCAUUGAUACUAUUUUAGUACUGGUUGGAGUUCAGAGAUAUGGUGAUCUCUCAGAGCUGGAGUUGACUUUCUCUCCAUCUUUUAUUUUGGAUAGUGUUUCAUUCCAAAACUAUUGCUUAUUUGACUUUGACAGUAUUCAUAUUCAUUUGAUAGAGGCUCUUUUAUCGACCUUAGUAAGUCAUGGGAUAGUGUUAUUCUUUUCCUUAUUUACCUUAUGUUAUUCCUAUCUCUUGCAUAUUAUUUCUCGUAAUUUAAUUA
rnacentral:lncRNA from 1 species